AGUGGGGAAUAUUGGACAAUGGGGGCAACCCUGAUCCAGCCAUGCCGCGUGUGUGAAGAAGGCUUUCGGGUUGUAAAGCACUUUCAGUAAGGAGGAAAACCUUACGGUUAAUAACCGUGAGGCUUGACGUUACUUACAGAAGAAGCACCGGUUAACUCCGUGCCAGCAGCCGCGGUAACACGGGGGUGGCGAGCGUUGUCCGGAAUUACUAGGCGUAAAGGGCAAGUAGGCGGAAUAGUAAGUCAGAUGUUAAAGGCAUGGGCUCAACCGAUGUACGGCAUUUGAUACUGUUAUUCUAGAGUAAGGUGGGGGAAGACGGAAUUCCUGAUGUAGCGGUGGAAUGCGCAGAUAUCAGGAGGAACACCAGAGGCGAAGGCGGUCUUCUAUACCAUUACUGACGCUGAAUUGCGAAGGUGUGGGUAUCAAACAGGAUUAGAUACCCUGGUAGUCCACACAGUAAACGAUGUGCACUAGAUGUUGGGAGUUAUACACUUUCGGUGUCGCAGCAAACGCGUUAAGUGCAUCGCCUGGGGAGUACGAUCGCAAGGUUA
rnacentral:rRNA from 1 species